rnacentral:rRNA from 1 species
UGUAGCAAUACAAUACCUAGAGUGUCGUACGGGUGCGUAACACGUAUGCAACCUACCCAAAACAGGAGUAUAGCUCGGGGAAACUCGAAUUAACCCUCCAUAAGAUCGUGAAGUGGCAUCACUUAGCGCUUAAAACUGAGGUGGUUUUGGAUGGGCAUGCGUCUGAUUAGCUAGUUGGCGGGGUAAUGGCCCACCAAGGCGAUGAUCAGUAGGGGAACUGAGAGGUUGAUCCCCCACACUGGCACUGAGAUACGGGCCAGACUCCUACGGGAGGCAGCAGUAGGGAACAUUGGUCAAUGGGUGAGAGCCUGAACCAGCCAUGCCGCGUGCAGGAAGAAGGCCUUCUGGGUCGUAAACUGCUUUUGCCAGGGGAUAAAAAGACCGUGCGCGGUUAAUUGAAGGUACCUGGUGAAUAAGCCACGGCUAACUACGUGCCAGCAGCCGCGGUAAUACGUAGGUGGCAAGCGUUGUCCGGAUUUAUUGGGUUUAAAGGGUGCGUAGGCGGCCCUGUAAG